UCAUGGCUGCGUUUAUUAAGAAUAAUUAGAGAAUUUUGGAAAAUAAAUUGAUACCCCCCAAUUUUAUUUACUUUUCAAACACAUUCAACGUAUGGCUGUGUGAAAAUUAUACAGAUAGUUUUAUUAUCAAGUUACAUGUAAUUUGAACAGGAAUUUCUAAAAUGCGAUUUAUACAUAAAAAUAUUCGUUAUUUACUAUAAGUAUUUAAUAGUAGGGAGCAGUAAUUCUCGAAUAAUUCUUAAAAGGGUUCAAAUCGUCCGUCAUUCU
rnacentral:rRNA from 1 species